UUAUACGACAGCAAAAAAAUUUUGCGGUCGUAUAUUGGUAUGACGUUGGCAUCGUCUUUGUCCGAAGACACAUUGGUUUUCGCACUCUAACUUUAGUUUAAGUGGAUGGAUCUCUAUGAAAUUUUACCAUAAGGUUCAAUACCACAAAAGGAAGGUUGGGAUUGAUUUUGGGGGUUAUGGUAGCAACAGUUAAGGAAUUAGGGGCCAAAAAGGGGCCAAAAAUAAGCAUUUUUGUAACUUCCAGACAUAACUUGUGUGUUAGUGUAUGGAUCUCUCUGACAUUGUACCACAAGGUUCCAUAUCUCAAAAGGAAUGCUUGGGUUGAUUUUGGGGGUAAUUGCCUCAAAAUUUUAGGAAUUAGGGGCUAAAAAAGGGGCAAAAAACAAGCAUUUUUCUAGUUUCAUGACAAUAACUUGUGUGUAAGUGUAUGGAUCUUUCUGAAAUUGUACUACAAGGUUCCAUAUCAGAAAGGGAAAGCUUGAAUUGAGUUUGGGGGUAAUUGCCCAAAACGUUUAGGAAUAAGGGGUCAAAAGGGGGCCAAAAAUAAGCAUUUUUCUAGUUUCCAGACAAUAACUUGUGUUCAAGUAUAUGGAUCUCUCUGAAAUAGUACUGCAAGGUACCAUACCACUAAAGGAAAGGCUGGGAUUGAUUUUGGGGGUAAUUGCCUCAAAAUUGUAGGAAUUAGGGUAAAAAAAGGGGCAAAAAACGAGCAUUUUUCUAGUUUCAAGACAAUAACUUGUGUGUAAGUGUAUGGAUCUUUAUGAAAUUGUACUACAAGGAUCCAUAUCACAAAGGGAAAGCUGGGUUCGAGUUUGGGGGUAAUUGCCCUAAACGUUUAGGAAUUUGGGGCCAAAAAGGGAAAAAAAACAAGCAUUUUUCUAGUUUCCAGACAAUAACUUGUGUUCAAGUGUAUGGAUCUCUCUGAAAUUGUACUGCAAGGCACCAUACAUUGUAACA